rnacentral:rRNA from 1 species
CCUACGGGGGACAGCAGUGGGGAAUAUUGCACAAUGGGGGAAACCCUGAUGCAGCGACGCCGCGUGAGUGAAGAAGUAUUUCGGUACGUAAAGCUCUAUCAGCAGGGAAGAAAAUGACGGUACCUGACUAAGAAGCCCCGGCUAACUACGUGCCAGCAGCCGCGGUAAUACGUAGGGGGCAAGCGUUAUCCGGAUUUACUGGGUGUAAAGGGAGCGUAGACGGCAGCGCAAGUCUGGAGUGAAAUCCCAUGGCUUAACCAUAGAACUGCUUUGGAAACUGUGCAGCUAGAGUGCAGGAGAGGUAGGCGGAAUUCCUAGGGGAGCGGUGAAAUGCGUAGAUAUUAGGAGGAACACCAGUGGCGAAGGCAGCUUACUGGACUGUAACUGACGUUGAGGCUCGAAAGCGUGGGGAGCAAACAGGAUUAGAUACCCCAGUAGUC